AAUGCCAGUGUAGGAGGUCCAGGGAUGUUGGAGUUCUGAAGAAAGCGGUGGCCUCGUUGACCUACAGCUCCCUCUGUAUGCCAGAGGACAUCACUGCACGCGGUCUGGAGUCAAUCCCCAACUUCCUCUACAGGGAUGUGACUCAGGCUGUGGGACAUCGUCCACAGGUUUGUUCAGAAAAUGAUUGGUCACUACUACACCUGUGACUCAGACGUCCAGAAGGACUCUGAACUGCAGAACUGGAUCAAGGAGAUCUUCUUCUAUGGGUUCCUGGCAGAAACCAGCACAGGAAUCCCUCAGUCUUUCAGUUCAGUGACAGAGCUGGUCAAGUUUAUCACCAUGGUGACUUCACAGUGUCUGUCCAACAUGCUGCAGUCAACAAUGGACAGUUUGAUUUUGGCGGAUGGAUGCCCAACUUCCCCAUCGCUCUGCAACAACCACCUCCACCACUAAGAGGCAGUGUACUGAGAGCACAAUGCUGAAGACCUUCCCUGACAUCAAUACCACCGUCAAUGGCAUGGCAGCGGUGUACCUUCUGAGCAUGCAGUCCACUGACUUUGUCGCUCUUGGAAAUGGCUAUCAGGAUCACUUCAGCGAGAAGGCCCUCUGAAACUGAUUCACGAAACUCAAGAUGUGCUGAAGAAAUACAACUUUGAAAUCCAAGGCAGAAAUGUCUCUUUGCCCUUGCCAUACACCUACCUGAAUCCCAACAAUGUGGAGAACAGUGGGCCCUGUAAUGAGUCAGGGCUGUGUUUAUUAGGCCCCAGAUGGAAGGAAACUCACUGUACAGGGUGACUAUUGUUUUCUGUUGAAACCUGUUUUAAAACAUGUAUCUGUGGUGUGCCCUAAUCAUUACGACCCAGGCACUUUAUCUAUGCGGUUCAGUCCACUUUUUAUCUUUUUAAUAGCCACAUGCAGCCAAGAUGAGAAGUUAAAUGUUUCUACUUCUGUGUUGUGAAUGCCACUAGCUGACCCUUUGAUCAAAGUCUUUAGUUGGAUUCUUCACCCUUGUAUAACUGAAUGUUUGUGCCUCGGGCCCCUUCCUGUUAUUGGCAACCUAACCUUGCAUGCAAAACAGGAAUCUACUGUAUUUGCUUCACUGGACUCAGUAUGUGGCCUGCCAUUUUCCAGCUAACCAGCAGGAGGUGUGGUGUAUGGUUCACAUAGAGACAGGUGACCUUAGGAGAACUUAUUUCAGAUUGCCUCCUAAAAGGGGAGUGUUGAGAGUAAAUUACCAAAUGGCCAACACUUAGACAUCACUUCCCAUAGUGCCUUGCUGCUGAGAGGAAACUGCAUGUGACGUUCCUGAUUUAUUAGCAGUGUAGCUUGAACCCACUCAAUUGUGUGAGAGCCAAAAGGAAACUACUGUCCAUACAGCUAGAUAGAGAUUAUAACUUUAACUCUGCUUUGUGACUCUGUUUAAUGGCUGAUCAAGAGCUUUUGAUUUCAUGCAAUAAAGUCUUGAUUAAUCUUCA